rnacentral:rRNA from 1 species
AUGAUGGCGCUCUCGGCCAUAGCUCAAUCAUCAAGCUCGAGCAAUUCCUUUUUGCUUCUUCUCGAACCAUGGCCUUCUCCUCGGGGACACUUUGCUCAAGUCCACCUUCAUGAUCUCCAUCUCCUUCGCCCGAAAGCGAGCGCCACCUCUUUUGCUUUGGUCUUCGCUUUGGUCGCUUCAAUCUUGAGCUUCUUCGUUUGGACGCCCUCUUCCAUCUCGAGUUUCUUCGCGUGGACGUUCGCGGCGACUCUACUUGUGGAGGACGAACAUCCGACGAGAUGGUGCUCGUUGCGACCAUGGCGGCGGGGUAAAAAUGGUCAGGUGGGGUGA